rnacentral:rRNA from 1 species
ACGCAAGUUGCGCCCGAGGCCAUUCGGCCGAGGGCACGCCUGCCUGGGCGUCAGUUGCCCUAGAACGCUCCGCGCCAGUAUUUUUAUGGGCGGACGCGGAGCCUGGCCCUCCGAGCCCUCGGGCCUGGCGGGCCGAAGCGCGUGGCUCCCCAAUUGGGGCCGGCUGUGGCGAGUGGUGGAUAGUUCGCUCACGCGAGCCGUACGUCGCCCGCCGUGCCCCCUGAGGGAGAGAAGGCCUUGUGUUUCCCCGGACGUACGGAUGCCGUGCGGCAUCCUCGGACCAAGACCCCAGGUCAGGCGGGGCCACCCGCUGAGUUUAAGCAUAUAAUUAAGCGGAGGAGAAGAAACUUACGAGGAUUCCCCUAGUAACGGCGAGCGAACCGGGAGCAGCCCAGCCUUGGAAUCACGCGGCGCCGCCGCGCGA